rnacentral:rRNA from 1 species
GACGAACCGUGCGAACGUUGUUCGGAAUCACUGGGCUUAAAGGGCGCGUAGGCGGCUUGUCAAGUCAGGGGUGAAAUCUUUCGGCUCAACCGGAAAAGUGCCUUUGAUACUGACAGGCUCGAGGGAAGUAGGGGCAUGUGGAACUUCUGGUGGAGCGGUGAAAUGCGUUGAUAUCAGGAGGAACGCCGGUGGCGAAAGCAACGUGCUGGACUUCUACUGACGCUGAGGCGCGAAAGCUAGGGGAGCAAACGGG